rnacentral:rRNA from 1 species
AUUGAACGCUGGCGGAAUGCUUUACACAUGCAAGUCGAACGGCAGCACGGGAGCAAUCCUGGUGGCGAGUGGCGAACGGGUGAGUAAUAUAUCGGAACGUGCCCAGUCGUGGGGGAUAACGUAGCGAAAGCUACGCUAAUACCGCAUACGAUCUAUGGAUGAAAGCGGGGGAUCGCAAGACCUCGCGCGAUUGGAGCGGCCGAUAUCAGAUUAGGUAGUUGGUGAGGUAAAGGCUCACCAAGCCGACGAUCUGUAGCUGGUCUGAGAGGACGACCAGCCACACUGGGACUGAGACACGGCCCAGACUCCUACGGGAGCAGCAGUGGGGAAUUUUGGACAAUGGGCGAAAGCCUGAUCCAGCAAUGCCGCGUGCAGGAAGAA